UAAUACAGAGGGUGCAAGCGUUGCUCGGAAUCAUUGGGCGUAAAGGGCAGGUAGGUGGUCUCAUUUGUCUGGGGUGAAAGCCUUGGGCUUAACCCAAGAAGUGCCUCGGAAACGGUGAGACUUGAGUACUGGAGAGGGUCGUGGAAUUCCCGGUGUAGCGGUGAAAUGCGUAGAGAUCGGGAGGAACACCAGCGGCGAAGGCGGCGACCUGGACAGUUACUGACACUCAACUGCGAAAGCGUGGGGAGCAAACAGGAUUAGAUACCCUGGUAGUCCACGCUGUAAACGAUGGGUACUAGGUUUGGUGGGUCUUGACCCCCGCCGAACCGGCGCUAACGCACUAAGUACCCCGCCUGGGAAGUACGGUCGCAAGACUA
rnacentral:rRNA from 1 species